AGGUGGAAACAUCGGUUCCCGUACGAUCACCGAAGUUAAGCAACAUCGAGGCUGGUCGGUACUGAGGCGAGUGACCGUUUGGGAAUACCAGGUGUUGUAAA